rnacentral:rRNA from 1 species
GACGAACCGAGCGACCGUUAUUCGGAAUCACUGGGCUUAAAGGGCGCGUAGGCGGGCCGUCAAGUCGAGGGUGAAAUCCCCCAGCUCAACUGGGGAAGUGCCUCCGAUACUGGCGGCCUCGAGGGGGAUAGGGGCAUGCGGAACUUCCGGUGGAGCGGUGAAAUGCGUAGAUAUCGGAAGGAACACCGGUGGCGAAAGCGGCGUGCUGGAUCCCUUCUGACGCUGAGGCGCGAAAGCCAGGGGAGCGAACGGG